rnacentral:rRNA from 1 species
UGCGGAGGGGGCUAGCGUUGUUCGGAAUUACUGGGCGUAAAGCGCACGUAGGCGGCGAUUUAAGUCAGAGGUGAAAGCCCGGGGCUCAACCCCGGAACAGCCUUUGAGACUGGAUUGCUUGAACAUCGGAGAGGUGAGUGGAAUUCCGAGUGUAGAGGUGAAAUUCGUAGAUAUUCGGAAGAACACCAGUGGCGAAGGCGGCUCACUGGACGAUUGUUGACGCUGAGGUGCGAAAGCGUGGGGAGCAAACAGG